AGCCCCCGGCCAAAGUGUGGAAGUGGCGUCCGAGAUCCCCAAGGGCCAAGCCAAGUAACUCGCAUGUUGGAGCGGGGAUACGAUAGGACCCGGGUCCAGGAGGAAAAGCAGAGGAUUGUGCGGGAGAUAAGGAAGGAGCUAAAGAGGGAGUGUAAGGGAAGGCACAGUGCGAUGGCGAUCAUCAAACAUUGGUCGGAUCUUAAGAGGAGGCACAUCGCGUGGAUCACAGAGAUCCGGGACAGAAAAUGCCCAGGUGUUCCCGUUCCCUCCGUCCGCCACAGGUCGUCGACGGACGAGAUGGAGGUAGUGGUCGUGUCUGCCUAGAAGGAGGCGGAGGAGGAGGAAGAGCAGGCCGGACCUUCCCAGCCGCAGCAGGAUGCACCACCUCCACCUGAUGUGGGCGAAGAGGUGGAGGUGGAGGAGGCCGGACCCUCCGGGCAGCCGGACCCCCCCCCCCCAGCUUCAGAUGAGAAAGAACAGGAGGAAGAGGCUGUCACCAGCCCCAGCCAUGAGGAUAAAUGCAAUGCCCGCAUCCUAGGGUUGUUAUAAGGGUUAAAGAAGAAAAUGCACCCCAGUAUAUGUUCAUCAUUUAGCAAACACCCCAAAAUAAUUAUAAAGCUGCAGCAUGAGGACAAAAAAGCCGUGCAGGAGAUCUGGGAGCAGCAAAAAAAGAUAAGGGAGCAGCGGCAUCUGGAUUGCAAGGUGCAGCAGUUGGAAGAGCUGCACCGUAAUGGGAUGCAGGAAAUGCUGGACCUCCAUAAACAACUCGAACAGUUGCCUUAGAGCCAUAUUUGUUCCU